UCAGGAAAGUCUGGAGUAAAAGGNUAUGGCUCAACCAUAGUGUGCUCUGGAAACUGUCUGACUUGAGUGCAGAAGGGGAGAGUGGAAUUCCAUGUGUAGCGGUGAAAUGCGUAGAUAUAUGGAGGAACACCAGUGGCGAAAGCGGCUCUCUGGUCUGUCACUGACGCUGAGGCUCGAAAGCGUGGGUAGCGAACAGGAUUAGAUACCCUGGUAGUCCACGCCGUAAACGAUGAGUGCUAGGUGUUAGGCCCUUUCCGGGGCUUAGUGCCGGAGCUAACGCAAUAAGCACUCCGCCUGGGGAGUACGACCGCAAGGUUGAAACUCAAAGGAAUUGACGGGGGCCCGCACAAGCGGUGGAGCAUGUGGUUUAAUUCGAAGCAACGCGAAGAACCUUACCAGGUCUUGACAUCCCGAUGCUAUUCUUAGAGAUAGGAAGUUACUUCGGUACAUCGGAGACAGGUGGUGCAUGGUUGUCGUCAGCUCGUGUCGUGAGAUGUUGGGUUAAGUCCCGCAACGAGCGCAACCCUUAUUGUUAGUUGCCAUCAUUAAGUUGGGCACUCUAGCGAGACUGCCGGUAAUAAACCGGAGGAAGGUGGGGAUGACGUCAAAUCAUCAUGCCCCUUAUGACCUGGGCUGCACACGUGCUACAAUGGUCGGUACAAUGAGUUGCGAGCCGGUGACGGCAAGCUAAUCUCUGAAAGCCGAUCUCAGUUCGGAUUGGAGGCUGCAACUCGCCUCCACGAAGUCGGAAUCGCUAGUAAUCGCGGAUCAGCACGCCGCGGUGAAUACGUUCCCGGGCCUUGUACACACCGCCCGUCACACCACGAGAGUUUGUAACACCCGAAGUCGGUGAGGUAACCUUUUAGGGGCCAGCCGCCUAAGGUGGG
rnacentral:rRNA from 1 species